UGCCAGACUCCUACGGGAGGCAGCAGUGAGGAAUAUUGGUCAAUGGGCGCGAGCCUGAACCAGCCAAGUCGCGUGAGGGAGGACGGCCCUACGGGUUGUAAACCUCUUUUGCCGGGGAGCAACGGGCGUCACGUGUGGCGCCACUGAGAGUACCCGGAGAAAAAGCAUCGGCUAACUCCGUGCCGGCAGCCGCGGUAAUACGGAAGGUCCGGGCGUUAUCCGGAUUUAUUGGGUUUAAAGGGAGCGUAGGCCGCAUGUUAAGCGUGCUGUGAAAUGCCGUGGCUCAACCAUGGCACUGCGGCGCGAACUGGCUUGCUUGAGUGCGCGGAACGUAUGCGGAAUUCGUGGUGUAGCGGUGAAAUGCUUAGAUAUCACGAAGAACUCCGAUUGCGAAGGCAGCAUACGGCAGCGCUACUGACGCUGAAGCUCGAAGGCGCGGGUAUCGAACAGGAUUAGAUACCCGUGUA
rnacentral:rRNA from 1 species